rnacentral:rRNA from 1 species
UGAGGAAUAUUGGACAAUGGGCGAAAGCCUGAUCCAGCCAUGCCGCGUGAGUGAUGAAGGCCCUAGGGUUGUAAAGCUCUUUUGUGCGGGAAGAUAAUGACGGUACCGCAAGGAUAAGCCCCGGCUAACUUCGUGCCAGCAGCCGCGGUAAUACGAAGGGGGCUAGCGUUGCUCGGAAUCACUGGGCGUAAAGGGUGCGUAGGCGGGUUUCUAAGUCAGAGGUGAAAGCCUGGAGCUCAACUCCAGAACUGGCUUUGAUACUGGAAGUCUUGAGUUCGGGAGAGGUGAGUGGAACUGCGAGUGUAGAGGUGAAAUUCGUAGAUAUUCGCAAGAACACCAGUGGCGAAGGCGGCUCACUGGCCCGAUACUGACGCUGAGGCACGAAAGCGUGGGGAGCAAACA